CAAGUAUAUACUUCAUUUCCAAUCUAUUUUAUCCAGACCCUGCAAGUAAUUAUCUCUAUAACCUUGUGCCAAUGUGCUUCAGUUCCUGUCUCUGAAAGAUUAGGUGGCUGGAAUAAAAUCUAAAGUCCAUUCAAAAUCCAACAGGUAUUAAUCUGCUUCUGUGAUAAAGACUGGACGUGUUUCUUAGAAAACCCUUGAACCAAUUCUAUCUCAUUAUUAAUACUCCUAAUUUACAAAAAUCCAUUUCAGCACCUCUUACUUGAUAGGUACAGAAACUGAAUUUCGUGUGGUCCCACUGCCUCUCCUGCACAGCAGAUGGAAUGGCCUGAGUGGAGUGAACAUUUAGAGUAGAGAGGUGUUUCUGCGUGUAGGUGAAGGGUAAGGACACAAGGCGAACUCAUUUCAGGGGCCUUGACAUCUGUGUGUGUGUGUAUCUGGCAGAAGUUUUUCAGGAUGAGCUAUGAAGUGCUUCUUUCCUCCCCAGGUGAUAAGGAAGACAGGGAAGAGUGGGAGAGCAAAAUCUCCAGAUGCUUCCUGCACUUACAUUCUUUAUGGUAACUUCCUCUGCCCAGUUUACAGGCGAAACUUCAGUUAAUGCUGACCACCCUGGGUAAAAGGCCCCUGAGACCUGCUCUCCAAUGAUCCUGAGAUAUCUUGCAUGGUACACAUGCUCCUGCUGCAUCAUUUCCAAAGUUCCUGCCAUAGGACUGGGAAAGAUCUUCUGGACCCUUCCUAGCAGAGCAGUAGUUGAGCCGCAGGGGAGCCCAAGAGCAGCCUGCAAGCAUGUUUCGAAGGGGUGGUCAACACGCAGAGAGCCCCAGGAACCCACUUGAGAGUCAGCUCAGGGCCCAGUGGACAUGGUGAGGAUAACUCCAACCUGGUGGAGUGGAGAGAGAGCUCCUUCUUUGGUGGACCGUAUGCCACAAAACAGCAAACUUCCUAUGAAGCCUUUUUCAAAAAACAAACAAAAAGCCAAAAACUUUGGAAAAAAUUUCAAAAGAAGCCAUUCGGUAUGCCUAAGAAAAACACACACCUUGCCCACUGACUCAAAACUUACAGCAAGAUUUCUUAGACUCUUUUAAAAUCACCAGAAGCAAUGGGGACAGAGCAAGGCAUUCCUGAGUGUUUCAUUGCUGGGAAAGGAAAUUGUGGGAAAAUGCAGAGGGAAAGGGAAGCAGAAUUGCCUUGUAAAAUUUGACUUGAUGGUCCAUUCUUUCCAUCCCACAAUUUGUCUAGAGCUGGUUCCAAGCCCAUCUCCUGCAGGAAAUCCUUUUUUGUCUUUUUUUUUUUAAUGCCUCUGCCUCUCUGAGCUCAUUCUCUCCCCUUCUGGGGAUUAAGCCCUCAUGAUUUGCUCCACAUUCUUGGUUUUAGGCUGCUCUGCCUUCUGUCUAUUUGUUAGUAGCUCUGCGUGGGUAAGAACCUCAAGCACAGAGCCCCUAGUAGAGCACUGGGUCUCGAGAUGAUGGGGGCUGUGCCCUUCCCCUUUUCCUUGCCCUGGCUCCUCUCCUAGAAAUAAGUUCCCUGACAGAAGGGAUCUCCUUAUACUCCAGUGGCUCCAUGGGUCUGGCCCAAUACCUUCAAUGUCUUGGUCGCAGUCAAUACCCAAAGGCAGAGUUAUCAUUUGGGGGAAAGGAUCAUAAGCGCAUUGAUUAAAGAUGCAGAUUCUUGGGUCCCACCCCAGACUCAUUAGUAGGAAUUUCUGGGAGUGAGAUAAGAAUACAUUUUUCAAAAACAUCUGCUGGUGAUGCUUAGGUGCAUGUUAAGUUUGAGAAGCACAGUUUUGAGAAUCACACUCCCUUUUAGGGAUGCAUUCAGGACUGGAUUUCUGAUUUGCAACUAAGUCAGAAUCAGAAAGUAGACGAGGGAGAUGAUUUUUUUUUUUUCCUUCUUACACUCAACUCCUACCUCCCAAAGGUAUAGUCAGUCUCUGCAAAUUCUUCACAAGUCCUUCACUUGCACAGAUAAAUUAUUCUGGUAUAUAACCUGACAUAGGCAGUUAUUAGGGGAGGCUGGGUAACAAAGCAUCAGUACUUAGAAUUUUCAGGGAAAAUAAAUUCAAAUAUGCUUGACACUGAAUUAACAAGAAUCUUCCUUGAUGUCCAGUUUCUUAGAAGAAAUUCAGCCAAGCAAAGUGCCUAACCCUUGGGAGAUAAUAAGUGUCAAGUGAAUGAAUAUACACAUGAAGGAAUCCUUUAUUCUCUCAAGAUAAAUAUUAUGAUUUUGAAUUAUCAUUGUUCUCUAAAUAUGUGGGAUUAUUAGCGAAUUAAAAACUGUUAUUUGACAGUAGAGAGAAUAAACUAGGUUUUACUGCAAUAGCGUAUUAUACUAUAGAACCUAUUUUCAGUUCUUUCACUUAUUUUCUGUGACAAUUUAUGUAAGCUAUUCUCUUAUGCCUCAUAUAUUCACCUCUAGAACUUAGAGUCUAUGGCAAUGAAAUAUCUAGGGUAAUAAAAUGAAUUAAAUGUCUUGGUAAUUCAUACACAUACAUAUGAAUGUUUACAUAUACCUAUAUUCAAAUACAUAUAUGAGGAAAUGCUUGUGGUAGUAUUUAUUAUAUAAUAUCUUUAUGGCCCUUCUGAAAAUUAAGGGAAAAGUGUAAGUUUCUUGAAAGGCCAGUUUGAAAGUUUGAUGUAUUCUGGUAUACAUCAGCUUUCCUUUGAGUGUUUUCUCCAUCCUCACCCUCGCUUGGUUUGGCAAUGAUCAUCUCCAUGUGCUUUUGUCUGGCGUUCUAAGUCCAAAGAGUAUAGCUGGUCUUGAUCAUUCAUACAAAAAGCCUUUGAUUCCUGUAACUGCAUGUGUUUUUGACUAAUGGAGGGCAUGUAAGUUGCCCCUUUAUUA
rnacentral:lncRNA from 9 species